CGUGGGGAGCAAACAGGAUUAGAUACCUGGUAGUCCACGCGUAAACGAUGAGUGCUAAGUGUUGGAGGGUUUCCCCUUUCAGUGCUGCAGCUAACGCAUUAAGCACUCCGCUGGGGAGUACGACCGCAAGGUUGAAACUCAAAGGAAUUGACGGGGGCCCGCACAAGCGGUGGAGCAUGUGGUUUAAUUCGAAGCAACGCGAAGAACCUUACCAGGUCUUGACAUCCUUUGACCACUCUAGAGAUAGAGCUUUCCCUUCGGGGACAAAGCGACAGGUGGUGCAUGGUUGUCGUCAGCUCGUGUCGUGAGAUGUUGGGUUAAGUCCCGCAACGAGCGCAACCCUUAUUGUUAGUUGCCAUCAUUCAGUUGGGCACUCUAGCGAGACUGCCGGUGACAAACCGGAGGAAGGUGGGGAUGACGUCAAAUCAUCAUGCCCCUUAUGACCUGGGCUACACACGUGCUACAAUGGGAAGUACAACGAGUCGCUAGGCCGCGAGGUCAUGCAAAUCUCUUAAAGCUUCUCUCAGUUCGGAUUGCAGGCUGCAGCUCGCCUGCAUGAAGCCGGAAUCGCUAGUAAUCGCGGAUCAGCACGCCGCGGUGAAUACGUUCCCGGGCCUUGUACACACCGCCCGUCACACCACGAAAGUUUGUAACACCCGAAGUCGGUGAGGUAACCUUUUGGAGCCAGCCGCCUAAGGUGGGAUAGAUGAUUGGGGUGAAGUCGUAACAAGGUAACCAAGGGCGAAUUCUG
rnacentral:rRNA from 1 species